GCGAGUCGCGCGAGAAUGUAGCAAUACAGGAAAGCGGCGAAAGGGAGAGGACAACAUGGGAAACUGCCCUGGGGGCGAGGAUAGCGUCGGGAAACUGACGGUAAUACUCGAUAAUGUCUGCGGACCAAAGGUGUGAUUCCGCCCCAGGAUGUGCCCAUGCCCCAUUAGCUAGUUGGCGGUGUAAUGGACCACCAAGGCUAUGAUGGGUAGCUGGUGUGAGAGCACGACCAGCCUCACUGGCACUGAGACACUGGCCAGACACCUACGGGUGGCUGCAGUCGAGAAUCUUCGGCAAUGGACGAAAGUCUGACCGAGCGACGCCGCGUGCGGGAUGAAGGUCUUCGGAUUGUAAACCGCUGUCGAGGGGAAUCAAAUGCUAGGGGGUUCUCCCCUUAGUUUGAGAGAACCCUGGAGGAAGGGGAGGCUAAGCUCGUGCCAGCAGCCGCGGUAAGACGAGCUCCCCAAACGUUAUUCGGUAUCACUGGGCUUAAAGAGUUCGUAGGCGGCGAAGUAGGUGAGGUGUGAAAGCCCUCGGCUCAACCGAGGAACUGCGCUUCAAACCGCUUUGCUAGAGGGAGAUAGGGGUAAGCGGAACAGAUGGUGGAGCGGUGAAAUGCAUUGAUAUCAUCUGGAACACCGGUGGCGAAAGCGGCUUACUGGAUCUUUUCUGACGCUGAGGAACGAAAGCUAGGGUAGCGAA
rnacentral:rRNA from 1 species